GAGUUUGAUCCUGGCUCAGGACGAACGCUGGCGGCGUGCCUAACACAUGCAAGUCGAGCGAAGCUGCCGGAAAGCUUGCUUUCUGGUAGACUGAGCGGCGGACGGGUGAGUAACGCGUGAGUAACCUGCCUCUAAGCGGGGGACAACUUGUGGAAACGCAAGCUAAUACCGCAUAACACAUGAGAAUCGCAUGGUUUUCAUGUCAAAGAUUUAUUGCUUAGAGAUGGACUCGCGUCCGAUUAGAUAGUUGGCGGGUAACGGCUCACCAAGUCGACGAUCGGUAGCCGGACUGAGAGGUCGAUCGGCCACAUUGGGACUGAGACACGGCCCAGACUCCUACGGGAGCAGCAGUGGGGAAUAUUGC
rnacentral:rRNA from 1 species